GGGGGUGCACUGGUUUCGACGGGGGUCACGUCUAUAGGGGCAGCCAUCCGUAGUACGCCGGAGUCUACGUUAAAAGCUGGCAUUAAAAUUAAACGCUGAAGAUAAUUUAGCAAUCGCUGCCUAGUUUGCAGCAGUCCGCCUAGGCCCUCCGCAGCCUAGAUCCGGGCUUCGACUUGCGGACCCUUCACCUGCCAAAGCUUUGCGGCAACGUGAAUACUAUGAAGCUACUGAAACCAAGAGCCAGCCUUUAGGAGCUUGGUAGAGGGAAUGUCAAAGAUAAGGCUAUGAUGGUAGAGACCACAAUAUCCGGGCUUUCGGACAGGGGUUCGAUUCCCCUCACCUCCAUUG
rnacentral:tmRNA from 1 species